rnacentral:rRNA from 1 species
CUACGGGAGGCAGCAGUCGAGAAUCUUUCACAAUGGGGGCAACCCUGAUGGAGCGACGCCGCGUGGAGGAUAAGGUCUUCGGAUUGUAAACUCCUGUCAUGCGAGAACAAGGUUGCAGGGCUAACACCUUUGCAAAUUGAUGGUACCGCAAGAGGAAGAGACGGCUAACUCUGUGCCAGCAGCCGCGGUAAUACAGAGGUCUCAAGCGUUGUUCGGAAUCACUGGGCGUAAAGGGUGCGUAGGUGGCGUGGUAAGUCAGAUGUGAAAGCCCGGGGCUCAACCUCGGAAUUGCAUCCGAUACUGCCAUGCUGGAGUACUGAAGAGGUGACUAGAAUUCUAGGUGUAGCAGUGAAAUGCGUAGAUAUCUAGAGGAAUACCAACGGCGAAGGCAGGUCACUGGGCAGUUACAGACACUGAGGCACAAAGGCCAGGGGAGCAAACGGGAUUAGAAACCCCGGUAGUCC